UUAAUAUUUUAGCAAAGCAGUUGAAAAGCUGUGACGCAAAGCCAAAGGGUCCUCACCUUUAUAGCAGUAUUUAUAUGGCAGCCUGGUAACACCAGCAGGAAUAUUAAUAUUGCUUAUGUUAAGGAAAGACAGCCGGUUGCACUG
rnacentral:ncRNA from 1 species